UACGAAGGGUGCAAGCGUUACUCGGAAUUACUGGGCGUAAAGCGUGACGUAGGUGGUUGUUUAAGUCUGCUGUGAAAGCCCUGGGCUCAAACCUGGGAAUUGCAGUGGAUACUGGGCGACUAGAGUGUGGUAGAGGAUAGUGGAAUUCCGGGUGUAGCAGUGAAAUGCGAUAGAGAUCGGAAGGAACAUCUGUGGCGAAGGCGACUAUCUGGGCCAACACUGACACUGAGGCACGAAAGCGUGGGGAGCAACAGGG
rnacentral:rRNA from 1 species